UGGGGAAUCUUCCGCAAUGGACGAAAGUCUGACGGAGCAACGCCGCGUGUAUGACGAAGGCCUUCGGGUGUAAAGUACUGUCUUUGGGGACGAACGGUAUCUAUGUAAAUAAUGCAGAUACAUGACGGUACCCAAGGAGGAAGCCCCGGCUAACUACGUGCCAGCAGCCGCGGUAAUACGUAGGGGGCGAGCGUUGUCCGGAAUCAUUGGGCGUAAAGGGCGCGUAGGCGGGUCAUUAAGUCUGGUGUGAAAGGCAGGGGCUCAACCCCUGGAAGGCACCGGAACUGGUUAUCUUGAGGACAGGAGAGGAAAGCGGAAUUCCACGUGUAGCGGUGAAAUGCGUAGAUAUGUGGAGGAACACCAGUGGCGAA
rnacentral:rRNA from 1 species